CUUAGAAUUGAGCAUCUCACAGCUUCACUUGUCCACAAAGAAGGAACUCACUUCUACACAAAUAGGAACAAGAACAGACCUCUAAUCUCAAACAUUCAAGAUGAACUCCAAAGUUAUCCUCGUUUUUGCUCUCUUAAUCUUCGCUGUUUCUUUUGUGCCAGAAAGUGAGGCUUUCACGGCUGGAGGCGGCGGUAACAUUCCAAGAAAGCGAGAGUAUGAACACCAACUCGCCGGGAGGGCUCUCUGUGCGGCAGCCAGGAGUCACUGCAAACGGGAAUUUCUUGACGACAGUGAAUGAACCAAUCCCAUCACAUGGAACUGAUCUGAUUCCUUACAAGCAGCGACAAAAUUCUCUAGCUCUGGAGUCGGCCUGUCAUUCGUUAUUGAAAAAUCGUUAAGUAAUGUAACAAAUGCUAUUGUAAAUGAUCGAGAAAAUGUUUAAUCGCAAUUGUGAAAUAAUACAGGCACCGACGAGGCCAGAAUAAACCUAUUUUUGAGCGCA